rnacentral:miRNA from 1 species
AGUGCCGGGAGGUGGCAUCAGG